CAGUAGCCGCGGGAAUACGAAGGGUGCAAGCGUUAAUCGGAAUUACUGGGCGUAAAGCGUGCGUAGGCGGUGAGUUAAGUCUGCUGUGAAAUCCCCGGGCUCAACCUGGGAAUGGCAGUGGAUACUGGCUCGCUAGAGUGUGUCAGAGGAUGGUGGAAUUCCCGGUGUAGCGGUGAAAUGCGUAGAGAUCGGGAGGAACAUCAGUGGCGAAGGCAGCCCCCUGGGCCAAUACUGACGCUCAUGCACGAAAGCGUGGGGAGCAAACAGGAUUAGAUACCCCCGUAGUCCCUGUCUCUUAUAC
rnacentral:rRNA from 1 species